rnacentral:rRNA from 1 species
CACUCCUACGGGAGGCAGCAGUGAGGAAUAUUGGACAAUGGGUGGAAGCCUGAUCCAGCCAUCCCGCGUGCAGGAAGACGGCCCUAUGGGUUGUAAACUGCUUUUAUCUGGGGAUAAACCUACUUACGUGUAAGUAGCUGAAGGUACCAGAAGAAUAAGCACCGGCUAACUCCGUGCCAGCAGCCGCGGUAAUACGGAGGGUGCAAGCGUUAUCCGGAUUUAUUGGGUUUAAAGGGUCCGUAGGCGGACUGAUAAGUCAGUGGUGAAAUCCGACAGCUUAACUGUCGAACUGCCAUUGAUACUGUUAGUCUUGAGUAAGGUUGAAGUGGCUGGAAUAAGUAGUGUAGCGGUGAAAUGCAUAGAUAUUACUUAGAACACCAAUUGCGAAGGCAGGUCACUAAGUCUUAACUGACGCUGAUGGACGAAAGCGUGGGGAGCGAACAGGAUUAGAAACCCCAGUAGUCCCAUGA